UUUUUUGUGUGCUGGUGGUGUUGCCACAGGUUUGUGUAUGCGUCUAGUGUGGUUGGGAGUCAAAGACUCUUAAACUGCCGCUGGAUAGCUUAUAUUCAUAGGUGAAAAGAAAGCUGAGUGCGUAAGUCUUUCCUUCCAGUACAUAGCCUCUACACAAACAAGACUUCUACAGUGCCUCCCCGUGACAGCACAUGGUAACUAGGAUCUAGUGUCCUAGGCUUGACUGUAGAGGAUCUCGGAGUAGCAAGGACCCUAGAGAUGAAGUGUGUAGGCCGAUCGACAUGCGGACAUCACUAGCACUCAUCAACCUUGCCCCAGUUAUGGGUUAAAUAGCUGACUGAAUGAUGGUCGUCAUGCAGCCGUGAAAGAAGGAGAAGAAAACUCUUGAUAUAAAAUUUUUGGUAAUGUGUAUUUGACUCAUCAGCAAUUGAUCUAAAGGAAAUAAAGCUUGAGUAAAGAUUCUCUGGUUCUCCAGGUUUGGGAUUGAGAGUUAUGCCAAGAUCCUGUCCAUGUAAAGAAUGAUUAUAUACUGAUUGAUCUCCCAGAUGAGAAACAUCACUUCCAGAUCUGCAUCUUUGACAUUCAAAAGACAAGUUAUUCAGCAUAUUUUGAAAAGAGAGUAGGACCUGAAUGUAAAAUAAUACCAACUUUAAGACCAAGCGUGCUAGUUAAUUUAGAAAUCAACUGAAGCAGAAGAAUGAAUUGUGUUGAUCUGAGGAACUUCGAAACACUUAUUGACCAAAAACAAUAUGUAGUAAAGUAAUACAAUUAUGUUAUAAGAGAGAGAGAUAGAAAGAGGGGGAGAGCCAGUUGUAAAGAUUUAUUCUUUUAAACCAGAUACGUUGAUUACAAUCGAAUUUCAUAGGCCUACAGUUCCCCCCUAAAUGGUCUUAGUUAAUACAUGACGUACAUGUAUACUAGGUGUUUAAUGUAAGACUUUGAUGUGACUUGUAAGAACAAUCAGCUGCCAUUGGUUUAACUCUAUUUUUAUGCCCUUCAUUUGGGGGUGGGGUGGGGCACAUUGUUUUACUCCUGCCCUUACAAUCUUCCAUCCUAUUAUAGGUAUAUAGAUAUAAGAAGAUGUGAAAUUGGUGACAAUGAGACAACUCCCCCUCCAAUUCACAACUAUUCCAGAUAACUACUCCUAGAGUUUAAUGAGUUAUCUCCCAUAUUUGUAGGUACUUUUGAUAUUUUGAUAUUUCCUGAUAAGGCUAAUGCAAAUAGAAGAUUUAACUUGUUUUUAAAUUUAACAAACUGAGCAUAAGUUGUGAUGAAUGGAAACUAGCAGGCUGAGUUUUAGGGUUAAGGGGAGGGAAUACACUUGUUUAGCUAGUUUUGUUCACUGCAUGGAAGGCCUGCAAUAAAUUAGAAUGUAUUGGUUUUAUAUAUAAUUUUUAUAUAUAUUUUGUUAGAUAUGCUAUAUAAGAUGUAAAUAUAGUAAGAUGCCAGUAUUAUUAAGAGCUCUGUAAAUAUGAUCGGCUUGUAAACAUAGGUCUAGAUAAUGCAUUAAGUGGUUUGGUCUGACAUUUGGAUUUCAUAUUAUAUUUACGUCGUCAUCAUCUGCAAAAGUGCUCCCAUUCACAAUAUUAUCUGAUAUUAAACGCCCCUUCCUCCCAAUUAUGACUUCAUUUUUAGUUUAAUGAGUACUUUCUCAUAUUUGUAGGUACUUUUGGUAACUUACAGUUUGUCAUGAUAAUUAAGGCUAAUGAAAAUAGGAGACAACUCUUGGUUUUUUUUGUAGAAAAGAAGAUUUAACUUGUUUUUAAAUUUUAUGGUGAAUCCUGUGACUAAGUUAAUUUUUUCUUAUAUUUAAAAUAACCCUGUCCAUGAAAUUGAACAUUGCUCCUCUUGAUUUUAGUAAGUGAAUUCUUUUGUAAUAGUUUAAAAGAAAUGUCAAUAAGUAUUUCAUAAUGCAUUAGAAGGAAUGGUAUAUUUUAUAGAAUGCUAGUAUUGUUUUACUUGUAUGUUUAGAAGUCACAAAAAAUGAAAAAUGUAACAUAUUAUUUGUUUUACUAUUUACUAUUAUCAAGUAGAAUAACAUUUCCCUGUUUGCUAGUUCAUUACAAGUGUAAAGUUGAAAUUUCUGUAACAAUUAAAAAACCUAUGAUUCUUCCCUACAAUGUAUGAUUUGUUUUUAAAGCAGGGUGUAUUUUUUCAAUAUUGCCAUAUUCCUUUAUCUUAAGUAGCAGUAUUAUAUAAGGUGAUUGUUUAGUGACAUAAAUCAUUUCUCAUUUUAAUAAAUAACAUUUAUUUGAA